rnacentral:rRNA from 1 species
CAGAGGGUGCGAGCGUUGUCCGGAAUCACUGGGCGUAAAGGGCGCGUAGGUGGCGCGGUGCGCGUGCCGUGAAAGCCCGGGCUCAACCCGGGUCGGCGGUGCGAACGGCCGUGCUGGAGCGUACGAGAGGCAGGCGGAAUUCCGGGUGUAGCGGUGGAAUGCGUAGAGAUCCGGAAGAACACCGGUGGCGAAGGCGGCCUGCUGGCGUACGGCUGACACUGAGGCGCGACAGCGUGGGAGCAAACAGGAUU